rnacentral:rRNA from 1 species
GACGGAGGGGGCUAGCGUUGUUCGGAAUUACUGGGCGUAAAGCGUGCGUAGGCGGCUUUUCAAGUUGGGUGUGAAAGCCCGGGGCUUAACCCCGGAAAUGCGCCCAAGACUGUUUGGCUAGAGACCCGGAGAGGUGAGUGGAACUCCCAGUGUAGAGGUGAAAUUCGUAGAUAUUGGGAAGAACACCAGUGGCGAAGGCGGCUCACUGGACGGGUACUGACGCUGAGGCACGAAAGCGUGGGGAGCAAACAGG